UUCCUUCAAAACCUGCAAGACUAGGUUCUAGAAUCAGAAGGGCUUUUCUCCAGGAAAAAAAAUAUUCCCUUUCUCUCCCCUCCCUCCCAGUCUUUCCCCCUGGCCUAGGGCAAUGCUGAGGCCUGGACAAUUCCAAUCACAACUGGAUCUUUCUACUACUUAGUAGCACAGCGGAGGAUUUAUUGGAGUGGUGUUUGUUUUGUUUCGCUACUAUUAAGCAAGACUGCUUCAUAAUCCUUUAAAUGUUUUUAGCCAAGUCUUAUUUACAUAUCCUGGCCAGCAAGCACGUGACUAACCCAGGACUCUGCAGGAAGAAGGCGUUUGGAAAGCUGGCACAAACAACGUCAGUAGUGAGAAACAGGACGACUGUCUCUCGCGCCAGCGGGACGCAGCACUCUCAAACUGGAGACGCACUGGGACGAGGAGAAGCUGUGGAGAUGGCAAAUGGGAUGUCACUAAGUGUGACUUAAUGGUCUGGCUCCCACAGGACUCUCUCCAGCUUCAUUUGCCUGCUCCACAGGGAUGCUGAUGGGAUGUACCGCAAUAGGGAGCCUGGUCUCCAGAGCUAAGGAAAGUACGACCUAAGCCAACCGUGAGCUGGGCAAGGGUGGAGAGAGGGUAGACAGUAAGGUGGCUUGAAAAGAUGAUGGUCUUCCGUAGCAGCUGGCAGGCUUUGCCAUCUCUGCACACAGAGGUUCACAGUCCCUUUCCCCCUCAUUGUCUACACUCCCUUCUGUCUUUGCCCCUCUCUUGUGAGAUAUCUCUACCCACAUAGAAAGCUCUGGCUCUUCCUUCGGUGGCUCCCAGUCUUCAGCUCUUCAGCUCAGCUUCCUCCCCCAAACUCUAUGCAUAUGUAGCUGGGUGUGCAAGUGUUGCCUCUCUACCCAACACUCUACUUCCAUUCUUUUCCUAUAGAAUUUUUUCCUCUUAGUUGAGGGCAUGGGCACUUACUAGGUGUUAAUAUCCGCACUGUAUUUUUAGUACAGAUGCUUUCCUUAAUUUUUUAACCUUCUCAGAUAGAAGUGAUUUCUAACAGCUAGCUUCCUUUGUAUACACGCCAUGCCAAUUUAUGCCAUACACAUUUUAAAAUAGUAUUUUAAUGCAAUUUCAUAAAUGUUUCCUUUUUCCUUUUACAACAUAGUUUGCAAGCAGAAAGACUCAAAGAACAGAUUAAUACACCCAAUGUGUUUUUGUUAAUAUCCUUUCAAUUUAGAAGUCAAGUUAUGGAAUUAGGAAAAUGUCUGUGAAUAAACUGAUACAUAUAUAUAUGUUGGCAUGCUAGUUUUAAAAGCAUAGUGCAUUCAUAAAAAGUCACAUAUUUCUUUACUGAAUUUAUUCUUUAAGAUUUUGUCUAUCAGUCUAAGGUUAAGAGCACUUGCUGUUCUUUCUGAGGACCCAGGUCAAUUCCCAGCACCUACAGUCUGGCUCACAGCCACAUGUAACUCCAGUUCUGGGGCAUCUACUGCUUCCUGUUUUGAAAUCUCACUGAAGACAUGGGUGGCACUAAUGUCACUUAUCUUUAUGUCCCUAAGUGUCACAGCCAAGAGAUCAGCAAGAGCAGUUGGUCCUCUGGGCACAGCAUUUAAUGACAUUAACGCUGUGGAAAUGUUUUUGAACCUCUGAGUAAGAAGUCAUUUUGUGAGCUCCGAGGAACCCAGCACACACGUUUUUCCUCUCUGUUCAUGUGUAUGAAGGAACCACCAUUUACCACUUUUGAUAUUACACACACACACACACACACACACACCAUAACAAAGGCAAAAACAGCCACUUUCCAGGGAGUUUAUGGUAAAAAGCAUCAAAUAACAAACCUGUCGCAAAAGUAUCAUUACAGGAGAAAACGGUGCAAGGCACUCCCGUGCAUCCAUGGUUCUCCUGAGGGACUGCCCGCCUCACACUAGGGAAAUCAGAACCGCGUGUGUGUAGACACGCCGAGCACACCACUUACCCACUCACACUGGAAGAAGUUUUUUUUUUUUUUUUUUUGGUUUUUCGAGACAGGGUUUCUCUGUGGUUUUGGAGCCUGUCCUGGAACUAGCACUUGUAGACCAGGCUGGUCUCGAACUCACAGAGAUCUGCCUGCCUCUUGGAAGAAGUUUUACAGUGAACUGGGGCUAUUGACAGGUGCUUGGAGGAGGAGAGGAGGCUGAUGGGGGAGGAGAGGAGGGGGAGGAGCUUCACGGCUGGGCAGGACAAAGUCUUCACUCCCUUGGAUUUCUCUUAGUGCAACCUGUGUCCUGUCAUUUUUUUAAAAAGUGCUCCAAGAAGUCUGGCCUGUAGCCGCUGCUUGAUAACGGUGGAGCCGCUGAAUGAUGAGCGGUUUAAAAUGUCCUCGGCAUCACACCUACAUAACGCCAUUAGCAUCUCUUCCUAAGAUCAGAGGUGCCAUCAUUCUGGGAUUGUCAAGACUUUCCGUCUCAGGAACUCAGUGAAAUAUUUCUAGAGAGGCUUUUAAUAAUCUAGAUUAAACAGGGCAAGCUUCAGAGAAGAAUCGUGGAGGAACACAGGGGAACGACACUCCGACUCUGGUCUGGAGUUCAGGCGGCUUGGCAUUAGAAGCUUCCUCUAACUGCACCACUUCAUAUACUUUAUAGAGCUCUGAAGUGUUGACUUAGGGGGCUAUGUACCCCUCUCUCAUAUAUUCGAUAUCUCAAGACCUAAGUGUAACGCUGCUUGUUAAAUAGCAGAGAAAGACUGAAGAGGCCCAGCAAGAUGAUUAUAGGGCCGAGUGUUGUGUUUCCCUUUGCAGUCUUGAAAAAUAAUUGCCACAAAAAACUAAAACAAACCAAAGAAAAUAAUGCCUCAGUCCCCUCAGAUGAUCCAUGAAGCCUGAACAUAAACAUCUCACUGAGUGUGAUACUUGGAAAACUCAGACCAAGGUAGGAAUUCCCAAACUAAAUUAUUUGCUUGCUUUCUUCUUCUCUCCCUCCCUCUCUCCCUCUGUCUCUCUCUUUCUCGCUCGCUCUCCCCUUUCCCACCCUCUCUUUCUUUCUCUGUGGGAAAGAAUGGCCGAGAACCAUGAAAUCAUUCAUAAAACAUAGAUUACUGGGGGAUGAGUCAAAUGACCUGACCUGCACUUGUGCGUGUACACAUUCAGCUUCUUGAAUUGGUACAUACUAUUGGAAAAGGCAUCGAACCAUAAAAAUAACUCACAUGUCUGUUAUGUUUUUCCAUUUUAAGCUUAUAAUAGCAAUAACAACCUCGGCAAAAGACAUUUUCUUGGAAUUAAUGGCUGGCUGGGAGGCAGAGCCCAGGACCACUGGCUCUUCCCAGCUGGUCAUUAAUCCCCAGGAAACGCCUGCACCGCCAUCAUUAUUGCUAAAGCACCAUUACAGAAAAUUCUCACAGUUCCAGUAUAUGGAAAUCUGAGGCCGUUUUGCAAGCCCACGGUACUCAUGUGAGUUAAUAGGGCCACCACUGAGCACAACACACGUAAUUAUCCAAACGACAGAGGGGAGCGAGUGUUCUCCUAGGCCUGUAAGAUUAUAGGAAGUGGGGAAUGGCCUUACCGGAAGGCUAUGGUGGAAGCUCAACCACAUUAAUUUAAAGGGGGAUUGGAAACUCAUAUAUGAAAGUUAGUGGGAGAAAAGACAAGGCAGUUUACUCCUAUUACAUAGUUUUAGGAUAUUUUUCUAUUAUUUUUAUUUUUAAUUUAUUUUUAAAACAAUCUUUUCUCAGUUUACAUACCUAGCCCGGUUCCCACUCCAUCCCCUCCUCCUGCUCCCCCCACUUUCUCCACAAGUUUUAGAAUAUUUUUAAAAGAUAACAGACUAAGGUUAUAUAUACAUUUCUUCCUAAAUUGACUAAAUACUACUAAAGAGUUCGAGUACAAAGAAUUGUAUGAACCUAUGCCAUCCGAGGGGAUAAACAGAGUGGGUAAGUAGGGGUUCCUUACUUUCAAUGUUUAUUAAAAUUUGUAGGCAUUCACCCAUUAAAUAUUUCAUGCGAACAUUUUGUUCUAGACUUUCUGGCUACAGAAGCAAGCAAACCAAAAGCCCCACAACAAGGACAACCUGAAGCUGUCUAACUAGAGGCUUAGCAUGUGCAAACAGCCCACACAGAACGGCACAGAAGGAACACUUGGUGUCCCAUGGAAGAUGUGAACAGAAGUCAGAGCACCAUUCUCAGAACUGAAGAGAUGGAGGCAGUAAGAGGAGACAAAGCGGUCAAAAUCCAGCAGAGGCCUGAGAAAGAGAGGUACUACUGAUCUGUUAAGUGGCAAGGCAUGAACGACCAUUUGAAACUAUUUGGAGGCCAUGUUUUAAUGAUUACAGGUUAUGUGCUUAAACCUAGUCUAAUUUCUUUAAAAGCACAAGGUAUCGAUUUGAAAAGAAAAUGAAAAGUCAAAGAGUGAAAUUUCAAUCUACAUUCACAACUGGGAAACAAUUAUUCAAAGAGCUUGCUUUAUAACAUAAAGUUUAUAUACACUAAAGGAAAACUUUCCCUUCGCCAAGUUAGGGUUUGGUCAGUUCUCCAACUUUAUCAGAAAACAUAACAAAGAGGUCUUUUUCUAAAGUCAAUACUGCAUAUUGAUUUUUAAUGCACUAUAUGCAUCAGGAAAUUGGCAUUUUAAUUACUAAGUAUAAAGAGAAAGCUAUUUGCUACCCUGAUGGCUCUUUACUGUAGUGAACUCAGACAUAAAAUACGAAUCAGCGAGAUUAAGUGGCCCUCAAACCCUCGCCCCCUCCCAAACACUGUCCAUCUCGGGGAACGUCCAUCUUUAGAAUGGCCAUUCCAAAGCCACGGAAUAUCAUCGUGGUUUUGCACCUUUUUACCAAUUGUAUUUGUAUUCAUUUCUCUACCACACACACAAAAAAAAGAUGAUGCAUGGUGAUAUUUUGUUUGUGCUCUAACAAAUAGAGUUUGCCUGAAGAUCAGAGGGCGAAGCUAGUCACUAGGUAACCACAGAGGCCAGGCAGUGGUACGCGCCUUUGAUCUCAGCACUUGGGAUCUCACACCUUUGAUCCUGGCACUAGGGAGGUGGGGACAGGAUCCAGGUCCCAUUCAGCCUGCAGAUUCCUAGGCAUAGGAACUUGUCCCUUCCACCUGAGGAUUUGGUAGAGGUAAGAAGUCUCCCAGGUGGCUGGCUCCUUUACCUCUCUGCUCUUUCAGCAUUUACCCAGAUCUCUGACGCUGACACAAUACUAAAAUAUUCGCUUUCGAUCCUCUUCCACAACUCAUGUGCUCUUCAGCCUGCAUUCUGCCCAUCUUCAGCCACUAAUGGAAUCCUUCGCUGGUCUCCCUUUCUAAACUGUAGACUACACUACACCCACGCUCACACCUGUUUACAUAUACAUAAAAACAUUACAGGCUAGGAUCGCAUGAAGGAGAACGUGAUUUUCUUUCUGACUUUGGGUCACCUCACCUAACACUUAAUGCUUUACAAACCCAUCCAUAUUCCUUAAAAUACUACGACUUCAUUUUUCUUAUCCCAUUGUGUGUACGGAGCACAUUUUCAUUAUCCACUCAUCUGCUGACCGUCAUCUAGGCGCGUUCCAUCCCUGUGCUAUCAUGAAUAGAGUGACAAUUAAUGUGGACGUGUAAAAUAUCUCUGUGGUGCUACGGAAUGUCCUCGUGCAGUUGCUGGGCAGUAUGGACGUUCUGCCGGUUUUUAAAGCAUAUUAAUGCUGCAAGUUCUUAAGGAAAAAAUGGUCUUGUUUUUGACAAAUUUCAUUUAGCUGGCAUUUUGAAUGUGAUAUCAAGGUCAUCUCUUCCCCUCUAACCCCAAGUACAAACUUAAAAUUAUCUGUACUCUGCAUUAUUGGCUAUAACUGGAGCUAUGUAUCAUUGAAGAAGGCAAGUGUUAGGUUACAAUGGGUACAAGUGUUUCAAAAGGGGACAAAGAUCUGGAGAGGAGAGAAUGGAAAUGGAAACCCAGUGCUUUACUUUCAGGUAGAUUUCCAGGUUCUCCAGCACAUGGAUGCUUGAAAGCCUUAGGAGAAAGCCAGAUUUAUUCACAGUGUCUCCUGCUCGGUCAUCAAAUCUCCUCUUACUUUCUAGGCUGCUACAAACCAGGAAAGGCCUUGCCCAUCUAGGCGACUAACCAAUGAAAUUACAUCCCUUUCCUGUGUACAGGCUCUUUAAUAGAAGCAAGUGCCCCUGGAAGGAGGUUAAAUGGAAACGUGUAUUUUUAACUUAACAUCCUGUACACACCCCAUUGCCAAAUAAAGAGUUUCCACAGCCAAGGAAACAGCUGGGACUGUUAGCAGCUUUCCAAUGACCAUCUGAACUCAGCGUCUGGUCCUUGGGUCAGUUUCUGGGUCAAUUUCAGGAUCUGCAGAGUAAUUAUUUCCUUUUGAAAAAAAAAAAAAGACAAAAAGCAUUCAUUUGUAGUAAGGUGUAUUUUCCUUUGCUGAAAUGGUCUGGAAACAAAACCCGUAGGGCCCACUUGUCCUCACCAUAUCUUCCUUGUGUCUGGCCCUCGCUUCUUUUCUCCCUACAGCCCUCGUGGUCUUCCUAAGAAACAUCUGGAUGGCAUGUUUCAUGAGGGAAGUGAACGUCUCUACUAUCUCAUUGUGAACGCCACACUCUUCAGAUGUUUGCCAAACAUUUUCUGUCCCUGUAUCAGUUAUGUGAUAAGCUGCUCUUUGGGGCAAAAGAGAGAAAUGCAGGUAUUACCUGAACACAAGAGUAGGACUGAUAUAGCGGUUCUGAGAAAAAUUAAGUUGCUAUAAGAACCUAUUAAGGUAAACAGCAUAAAAAAUACUUUUCAAAUUCAACAAGACACAACAUCAGACUUCUACUAUAAGGAAAAACAAAGACUUUUAGCAUCAAUGUCAAAUUUUCCCCUCAUGUGAAUAGACGUAAAACUCACUUUAAUAUCACUAAGAAACAAUCCUUAAACUUGAUACUAUCAAACAGAGACACAUCGCAGUAGUUAGAAUGCUCACAAUCUCAGGGAGUGGCACUCUUAAGAGGUUGUCGCCGUGGGGGUGGGCUUUAAGAUUUUCUAGGCACUGGAUACCUAACUCAGUGUUUCAGCCGGCUUCCUAUUGCCUGCAAGAUAUAGGACGCUCAGCUCCUUCUCCAGCACAACAUCUGCCUAAACACCGCUAGGCUCCAGCCAUGAUGAUAAAGGACUGAGCCUCUGAACUGUAAGUCAGCCACCCCAAUUUAAUGCUUUUCCUUUAUAAGGGUGGGGGUGGCCAUGGUGUCUCUUUACAGCAAUAGAAACCCUAACUAAGACACACACUGAAGACGUGGUACCCCUAAUACAAUGUGGUUGGUGCGGUGUGGGAGUCUUACACCCUGCGUAACUCCUGGUGGCUGUGGUGGAUAGAUAACGGGCAGCUAUGGUUGACAUUGGGGUACACAUGCACUUUGCUCCGUUGUGAGGUGUAAUUGCUGACAACUACCAAGCACCUUGCCUUGAGGGUUUUUUUUUUUGAGCCCCUGCACACAUUUCCUCAUUUAACACACACAAGAAUUCCUAGAAUUCUUCUUCCCUUUCCAGAGGAGACAGGCAGCCUUGAGACAAUCCCGGCAUUUGCUCAAGGUUAUCACUGGGUUGGGGGUGUGUCAAAACUUGAACCCAAACCACCUAAACCCUGAUCCUUGACUUGAAUUGUGAAGGAAAUGGAGGCCUCAUUCAUUCUCCUUUCUUUGCCUCUCACCUCUGACAUGUUCAGACAGAGAAUGAAAAUCCGGAAACCCAUAUCUAAUAAUAGAUCUGAAAUCUAAUCAAACCAGAGGAGAGAAUAGACUAAAGGAGGCAGUGGACAGUAGACGUAUUCCUAACCAUCUCUAAUGAGCAUGUUCAUGGGGUCACUGGGCCCACUGGUUCCCCACCCUUUCCAGGGGUCAGGCCUGAUGCCAGGUACUCCUCAGAUCUACAUAUUUUUGGUGAACUAACCCAACUACUGACUGCAGUUACAAUAAACUGCUCUUUUCAAGGCCAGCGACUUGAGUCUGUAAGAUUAAUAGAACAGGGUGUGUGCCUGGUGCCUUCUUUUGUGAAGCAGCAGCUGAGGAGACUUGCCAUAGCUGAUGAGAAACCCAAGGAAGGAGUCAAGACUGGGAAGAAUGGUAACAUGAAUUUCAAGGUGGUGGACAUGGUGGCUCUGUGGGACAGUUUAGGAUGAAGACGCAAACACCACUAGUAAACGAAGGAAAGCCCAUUGUGAAUGAGAGGUUUGUUAAAUGGUGGGUGAGAUUCCAGUCUGACGAGCAACAAUCAAUGACACGGCCACACCUGCACAGCUGGGAAUGCGGAUGAAGACGACUGCUGUGUCCAGCAGCGGACAGGAGUGUCUGCUAAAAAAGUAACCUGCUGCUUUACUCCAGGACUGCGUUGAGUACAUUGUCAACUAGAGAGCCUCCGUUUGGUCCUAAACAGCCCAGUUUUCUCUUUUCUUUCAUUUCUCCUUCACCAUUCCUUUAUUAGACACAAGCAUACUGUGUGUCCUUCCUUCCUUCCUUCCUUCCUUCCUUCCUUCCUUCCUUCCUUCCUUCCUUCCUCGAACUAAAUAGCCAAUGUUCUGUUUUGUUCAGCUUCAGAUGGAGCCGGUGUGGGAGAAGGCACCGGUUCUGUGAAAAUGCCUCUUCCUCCAUUAGUGGCACGUUCGUUCCGCUCUCCUCUUAAAAAUCAAGUAAGGGACUUUGCUCUCAUUGGUUGAAUUAAAAAGCUCAAUGACA